rnacentral:lncRNA from 1 species
UUAUUUUGUGUAUACUGACAGAAAGGCUGCCUCAUAAAAUGGAAGGGUUAUUCGAAGUGGCACAACGCCCUAGAGCCAAAAAGGAAGUUGAAUCAAGCUUGUCUGCGUGAAUUCAAACAUCCUAGCAAACCAUCGAAGUGCCAGCUGGAAGCAGCAUCCUAAGUACUAUAUGUCAUUCAAAAGAAACUUGCUAAUAGCCGUAGGUCCAUUGGACUUGCCAAGAACGAAUGCAUUCAACUUGAAGAAGAGAACUGAAGGAUGACCUCUGUUUUGGAAGAAAAGAAGAGCUGCGUAAUCGUGGCAAGUUGUUGGAGAAGGGUCCAAAAGUUCUGACCAAAGAAAGCUGCACAGUGUAGGCAAUGCCAUUGUCCAAGCACUACAAGGCAUUUUAGAGAGCUACGGUUUGGAUUUGUGCCAGCUUUUUGUGAAUGGACAUUCAGGGAUUCUUGCACCAAAUCACAGUACUCGUAAGCAUCGAAAUUUCUGUAGCGCGAAAUGUCAAAGUGGGAUAUCACCGUACAGGUGAAGUGAAUUAUGACACCCUCUCAUCGUCAAACAGGAAAUGUGUUCGAGAUGUUGCUGUCCUUUUGGAUAAUCAUUUCGUAAGCAAUGUGUUUUGGGAGCAGCUUUCCUCUACCAUGCCGAACCUGCCCACAUUGCGUGAUCAACUCGUACAGAGAGAAAUUGGAUACCAUGUCUGCUGUGUUUAAGGCAUCUGGAAAGUCACCCGGUGCCCAAGUUUCCUUUGUGCAAGAACUUCAGUCAGAUAUUGCAGAGUUCGCCAUCGAUGGGGACCCGAAGACCUCGUUUCACAACGUAUCAUCGUGAAAAUUGAAGGUGAUAAUUGCCUUGUUAGGAAGGAAACAAG